rnacentral:misc_RNA from 1 species
GCAAUAGGCACAUAAAUGUCACGCUAAAAUAUGAGAUGAAUAUAAUGAAACUCAUGCAACUCGAUCUAACAGAAUCAAAUGCCAUUUUUAGGCAAGGAAGACUUCACACAGGUUCAAUUCUCCAAAUUUGGUGUCAAGUGUACGUGGUGUCCUGUAUGAUACUUACUUGUAAUAGUUCAAUUUUACACGCCUAUAUUUUUCAUCUGAGAUUGCCUUUCCAACUAAUCAUUCGUGUGAACAUCUCUCUCAUCGUAUUUCUUGUCUUAUAGAAGUGAUCAGAAUAGUAAUUCAUGUUCACACAACUAAGGCAACUUCAUCCAUCAAAUAUUCAGUUGAAGUUAAGUUUGCAAAAAAGUACAUCUCUAACCUCUUUGAAACUCAAAAAGAUAAAGAUAUCCCAGUAUAAGCAGGAGUAUGAUUUCAUUUGCUUAUUCAUUCAAGACAAUUCCUCACACACGUAGUCCAAGGAGUUGAAAAAGAGUUCAAGCCUAUUCAAGCACGUUAUUUCUUGUUUUAAAAAAAUUGAAAUUUUAAGAAUGAUAAUGAACAUAGAGUAUAGCCAUAGAGGAAAGAUCCUUUUUAAGUUUAACACAACAGCAAUUGGUAAGAUCAUACUUAUUGUGACAUAAGAUAGAUGUUAAAUUGAGUGAUCAAAAUAACUUAC